GACGAACGCUGGCGGCGUGCCUAAUACAUGCAAGUAGAACGCACAGGAUGCACCGUAGUUUACUACACCGUAUCCUGUGAGUUGCGAACGGGUGAGUAACGCGUAGGUAACCUGCCUGGUAGCGGGGGAUAACUAUUGGAAACGAUAGCUAAUACCGCAUAAGAACAUUUACUGCAUGGUAGAUGUUUAAAAGGUGCAAGAGCAUCACUACCAGAUGGACCUGCGUUGUAUUAGCUAGUUGGUGAGGUAACGGCUCACCAAGGCAACGAUACAUAGCCGACCUGAGAGGGUGAUCGGCCACACUGGGACUGAGACACGGCCCAGACUCCUACGGGAGGCAGCAGUAGGGAAUCUUCGGCAAUGGAGGGAACCCUGACCGAGCAACGCCGCGUGAGUGAAGAAGGUUUUCGGAUCGUAAAGCUCUGUUGUUAAGGAAGAACGUGUGUGAGAGUGGAAAGUUCACACAGUGACGGUACUUAACCAGAAAGGGACGGCUAACUACGUGCCAGCAGCCGCGGUAAUACGUAGGUCCCGAGCGUUGUCCGGAUUUAUUGGGCGUAAAGCGAGCGCAGGCGGUUAGAUAAGUCUGAAGUGAAAGGCAGUGGCUCAACCAUUGUAGGCUUUGGAAACUGUUUAACUUGAGUGCAGAAGGGGAGAGUGGAAUUCCAUGUGUAGCGGUGAAAUGCGUAGAUAUAUGGAGGAACACCGGUGGCGAAAGCGGCUCUCUGGUCUGUAACUGACGCUGAGGCUCGAAAGCGUGGGGAGCGAACAGG
rnacentral:rRNA from 1 species